UUAACUUGUUAAAUCAUAAAAAUUUCUUCCCCCAAAAAGUAUACUGGAAACAUCCGGAUGUAAGGUUAUAAUUAAAAAUGAAAGCAAAACAGCCUUCCCUGAAAGAAGUGAGACUCUUAAUUCAAACUUACAGCGCAGCUAAAAAUGAAAGUGAAAAAGCUGGCAUAUACAGAUAUUGAAAAGUCUCACAAUGUAGACUUUAUCACUAACCAUCUGG
rnacentral:lncRNA from 1 species